CAACCCUCAAGCCCCAGCGGCUUGGUGUUGGGGACCGGCCCCGGCCGCCCCCCAAAUGCAGUGGCGACCUCGCCGCAGCCUCCCCUGCGUAGUAGCACAACCUCGCACCGGAGCGCGGAGACGGUCACGCCGUAAAACGCCCAACUUCUCAG
rnacentral:misc_RNA from 1 species